UUUUUGUACAUAUAAUUAUAUAAUAAUUUAUAAAACAUAUUUCAUAUACUUAAUGAAAAUUCAAACUUAAAAUCUUAAAAUUCAAACAUAUAGUAGAAGAUUCACAACAUCACAUCUUAAAAUUCAAACUUAGAACUAUUAUAUGAAAAUUCAAAAGAUCAUCAUCAAAAUGUAUUCUUCAUAUAUCAUCAAAAUAUUCCUCCAAUAUUUCAUCUUCAUCAUCUUUUUCAACAUCUUUUGCCACCACUUGUUGUGCCCUAGAUGUACUUGCAACUUCAAGUAGCCUUGACCUCCUAGUGUAGAUUAC
rnacentral:lncRNA from 1 species